rnacentral:rRNA from 1 species
GACGUAGGGCGCGAGCGUUGUCCGGAUUUAUUGGGCGUAAAGAGCUCGUAGGCGGCUUGUCGCGUCGACCGUGAAAACUUGGGGCUCAACCCCAAGCCUGCGGUCGAUACGGGCAUCACUUGAGUUCGGCAGGGGAGACUGGAAUUCCUGGUGUAGCGGUGAAAUGCGCAGAUAUCAGGAGGAACACCGGUGGCGAAGGCGGGUCUCUGGGCCGAUACUGACGCUGAGGAGCGAAAGCUAGGGGAGCAAACAGG